CCGGUGAUUCCGGCCGUGCUUUGAUCUUCAACUCUCUAGCCUCCCAAACUAUGAGAAAAAACAUGUAUUGUUUAAGUCCCCAGUGUAUGGUAGAUUGUUACAGCAGCCUGGACAACGACAGGAAUUAGCAGCAAGGGCUGGGAAUGGGGCUCUCAGAAAAAAGAAAAACAACUGUGAAAUAUACAAGUAGCUUUGGAAGUGGGUGGCAGAGUCUGGAAGAGCUUUGAGGUCCAUGCUGGCAGCCAAGGCCUAAGGAAGUGAAGGGUGUUUUAAGGGAGAUUCUGGUAAGCAUUCAGAACGAAAACGAGAGCGGUAGGAAAAGCUUCAGUUUCCGUAGAGAACACCUGAGCAGUUCUGAGCAGAACGUCGAUGUCAAUGUGGGUGAUAAAGGUCAUUCUGAUGAAGUCCCGGACAGAAAUGAACUAGAGCAAAGGCAUUCUUGUUACAAAGUGGCAAAGAACUUGGCUAAGCUGUGUUCACGGUAUGGUGUUUUGUGGAAGGCAGAACUGGUGAGUGAUGAAAUUGGACAUUUAGGGGAGGACAUGUAAGCAGUGUUGCGGGAGUGGCUUGCUUCCUCCUGACUGCUUAUAGAAAAUGCAAGAAGGAAGAAAAAACUUGAAGACAGAGUUAUUAAGCAAAAAAGGAAAUAGAACUUAAAGAUUUGGAAAAUGCUCAGACUAUUCAUACCGAAAAAAAAUGAGAAAGUGUAUCUGGAAGAGAGUACCAAGUUUGCGGCCCAAGGACACUUUGGUAAAGACAUUAGCAAGGGUGUGAAUCACAACGUUAAUUGGGUGCCCCAGCAGGAAAACUGAAUGCGAGCAAGGAUGUGGGAAGGGGUGAAGGAAGGUCACCUGACUUCCUGAAUUUUGUAGGACAAGACCAGAGAGCUGUUUGAAAGUGCCCUGUUCCUCAAAACAAGGGAAGGAUGACACUAAGGAAGAUUCAGAGAUCACUGGACUCCAUUUUCAGUCUCAAACUGGAGCGUGAAGAAGCAACACGCUUUGCUGCAAAGACUGUUAAGUUGACAGGAGAGAACGAUCAUUGCCAUCGACAUCUCACAAAAAGCGUAGACAUCAAAGUGGCACCCACCCUAGGAACUCGGUUUUCAUCUUCUCUUUCCUCUUGUUGUUUCAUCUUAUCUUAUUGGCCUGGGACAUUCCACGAGGACUGGAAUAGCGACGUUUGCACUGAGAGGAUGACAUCAGUUCGAAAUCGUGCUGUCAGGAUAAACAGAAAACCCUUCACUAUUUGAUUAUCUAGCAAGAAAUUAAUGGCUAUCCAUAAAAUGUCUAAUAAAGUGAUCUGUUUAUUCUAGAGGCUGUGGGAACUCUUUGUUUGCUUUCCUCACCCUUAUGCUUGCUCUUCUCCUGAGCGCGAGAUGACUAAUUGGUUUAACACAGUCAUAAAAUCAGCAGCCUGGCUCCUUCCACGCCAGGAGAGCCCUGCAGAACCGAAGCAGUGCACACGCCCUGCGAGCAAAUGCAGGGGAGCAGAAUUGUCCGAUUCCCGUUGCAUUGAUAUCCCGUUUUUACUCCAGUUAGACCUGAAGCCCGUC
ensembl:lncRNA